GACGGAGGGUGCAAGCGUUGCUCGGAAUCACUGGGCGUAAAGGGCGCGUAGGCGGUCUUGUAAGUCUUGUGUGAAAUCCCUCGGCUCAACUGAGGAACUGCACGGGAUACUGCGAGACUUGAGUUCGGGAGAGGGAAGCGGAAUUCCGGGUGUAGCGGUGAAAUGCGUAGAUAUCCGGAGGAACACCGGUGGCGAAGGCGGCUUCCUGGACCGAUCACUGACGCUGAGGCGCGAAAGCUAGGGGAGCAAACGGG
rnacentral:rRNA from 1 species